CCUUGACAUACUAAGAACUUUCCAGAGAUGGAUUGGUGCCUUCGGGAACUUAGAUACAGGUGCUGCAUGGCUGUCGUCAGCUCGUGUCGUGAGAUGUUGGGUUAAGUCCCGNAACGAGCGCAACCCUUUUCUUAUUUGCCAGCGGGUCAUGCCGGGAACUUUAAGGAUACUGCCAGUGACAAACUGGAGGAAGGCGGGGACGACGUCAAGUCAUCAUGGCCCUUACGGCCAGGGCUACACACGUGCUACAAUGGUCGGUACAAAGGGUUGCUACCUCGCGAGAGGAUGCUAAUCUCAAAAAGCCGAUCGUAGUCCGGAUCGCAGUCUGCAACUCGACUGCGUGAAGUCGGAAUCGCUAGUAAUCGCGGAUCAGAAUGCCGCGGUGAAUACGUUCCCGGGCCUUGUACACACCGCCCGUCACACCAUGGGAGUUUGUUGCACCAGAAGUAGGUAGUCUAACCGCAAGGAGGACGCUUACCACGGUGUGGCCGAUGACUGGGGUGAAGUCGUAACAAGGUAGGCGUAGAUGA
rnacentral:rRNA from 1 species